rnacentral:lncRNA from 1 species
GUAAUUAACUCUUAAAAUUUAGAAUUCCACAGUUUAUACUUGACAAUUAAGAAUAUGUCACUCGGUCCCUUACCUGCAUACGGGUCACAACUACCCAUAUAGGAUUUGUCAGCAGCACAUUGACACACCUAAAAAACAAGUCAAGACAACUGCUUACAAUCACAUACAACUAUACAGAUCAAUAUCUCACCAGUUGUAUAGAUUAAUCAUCCAAGAAAAUAUGGAUGGAAAAAAAUAACAGAAUACAUGAGGAAUUUUUGUUCAAGGUAAUAUCUUUUUGAGUUAACUGCCAUUUUCGUCCCUGUGGUUUGUCCAAUUAUGCCAGUCCAGACCAAAUUUGUACCAUUUCCUUCCCUGACAGUCCUGAAACAUGGUUUAAAAGGGAUUAUAAGAGAAUAAAAAAGGAAAAUCACGAUUGUACCCUUCAUUGAACGGUAGGUUUUAACAAACGUCAAGUUUUUUUGGACGGAACUGGCAUUUUUCAAGAAUGUCAGAGAAGGAAAUGUACAAAUUUGAAAUUUG